UACCCACUCCCAGCACGGGGAGGUAGUGACGAAAAAUAACAAUACAAGACUCACAUCCGAGGCCUUGUAAUUGGAAUGAGUACACUUUAAAUCCUUUAACAAGGAUCAAUUGGAGGGCAAGUCUGGUGCCAGCAGCCGCGGUAAUUCCAGCUCCAAUAGCGUAUAUUAAAGUUGUUGCGGUUAAAACGUUCGUAGUUGAACUUGUGUUUCGCACGGGCAGUACCUAGGACUGGGCAACCAGGACGGUACCUUGUCUUACUUUCUUUCUAUUUCAUAGUUGGAAAAAGUGCGUGAACGUAUUAUCGGCGUGUUCGUUCUUGUAGCGUUCACAUAAGCUCAUAUCAGUCCUCUUAAACGAGUGUUGUUGUGGGCCGAUACACAUUACUUUGAACAAAUUAGAGUGCUUAAAGCAGGCUUGUAAUGCCUAUAUUAUCUGUGCAUGGAAUAAUGAAAUAGGACAUCUGUUCUACUUUCAUUGGUUUUUUAGACCAAGAUGUAAUGAUUAAUGGAAGCAGUUGGGGGCAUUAGUAUUACAACGCGAGAGGUGAAAUUCUUAGACCGUUGUAAGACUGACUAAAGCGAAAGCAUUUGCCAAAGAUGUUUUCACUUAAUCAAGAACGAAAGUUAGAGGUUCGAAGGCGAUCAGAUACCGCCCUAGUUCUAACCAUAAACGAUGCCAGCUAGCAAUUGAGUGUAGCUACUACUAUGGCUCUUUCAGUCGCUUCUCGGGAAACCAAAGCUUUUGGGCUCCGGGGGAAGUAUGGUUGCAAAGCUGAAACUUAAAGGAAUUGACGGAAGGGCACCACCAGGAGUGGAGCCUGCGGCUUAAUUUGACUCAACACGGGAAAACUUACCAGGUCCGAACAUAAAUGAGUAAGACAGAUUGAUAGCUCUUUCUCGAAUCUAUGGGUGGUGGUGCA
rnacentral:rRNA from 1 species